GGAGGCGUCGUAUAGCGGUAUUACAACGGUUUGCUAAACCGUCGGUGCAGCAAUGCCCGGGCAGGUUCGACUCCUGUCGCCUCCG
rnacentral:tRNA from 1 species